GCUAACUAUCAAGCCUACAAAUCACUUAAUAUACUUACCUCAAUUUAAAUUAGGCUAAAACAUUUUACUGUUCAAGUAAAGGCGAUUAAAAAAACUCUAAGAGCUUCAACUCUAGUACCGCAAGGGAAAAAUGAAAUAUAAAUGAAAUAAAAUAAAGCACAAAACAGUAGAGACUAAGACUCGUACCUUUUGCAUCAUGGUCUAGCAAGUCAUCAUCAAGCAUAAAGAUACUCAAGUUUGAUUCCCCGAAACUAGGCGAGCUACUUCAAAACAGCAUCUAGAGCCAACCCGUCUCUGUGGCAAAAGAGUGGGAAGAUUUUUAAGUAGUAGUGACAAGCCUACCGAGCCUAGAGAUAGCUGGUUAUUCAAGAAAAGAAUUUUAGUUCUACCUUAAGUUUAAACAUGAAUACAAACAUAAUACUAUACUUAAGAGCUAUUCAAAUAAGGCACAGCUUAUUCGAAAAAGGCUACAACCUGGACUUUAGGGUAAGACAAUAUGAACUCAAUAAAGUAGGCCUAAAAGCAGCCAUCUUUAAAAAAGCGUCAAAGCUUUGUUCUAAACUACUUAAAUACCGCUUACUACUGCCAACCCAUUAACAGUAUUGAAUAAUUUCAUAAAUUAUGAAAACUACCAUGCUAGAACUAGUAACAAGAAAAUGAAUUUCUCCAAAGUGUAAACAUAAACCAAAACGGACAACCCAUUGGUAAUUAACGACUCUGAACCCAUUAUAGCAAAACAUCUAGAAAACCCUAUACUUAAUACCGUUAACCUUACACAAGAACUCUUCUGGAAAGAUUAAAAGGAAGAGAAGGAACUCGGCAAAUUUUAACCCCGCCUGUUUACCAAAAACAUCGCCUCUUGCUUAGUUAUAAGAGGUCCCGCCUGCCCAGUGUUUCAAUCAACGGCCGCGUGAUCUAAACGCGCGAAGGUAGCAUAAUAAUUUGUUCUUUAAAUGAGGACUUGUAUCAAUGGCAUCACGAGGGUUAUACUGUCUCCUCUCCCCAAUCAGUGAAACUAAUCUCCCUGUGAAAAAGCAGGAAUAAGAACAUAAGACGAGAAGACCCCAUGGAGCUUAAAACAAGGCAGCAAUUCAAUAACAAAAUCAGAACAAUCUUAAGCCCUGUAUGCCAGUUUUAGGUUGGGGUGACCACGGAGCAAAGCAAAGCCUCCACAACGAGAAGGGAUUAUUCCCUUACCCAAGAGACACGCCUCUAAGAAUUAUUAAAAUAACGUCUAAUGAUCCGAUUAUCGACCAAUGGACCAAGUUACCCUGGGGAUAACAGCGCAAUCCACUCUGAGAGCUCCUAUCGACGAGUGGGCUUACGACCUCGAUGUUGGAUCAGGAUAUCCCAGUGGUGCAGCCGCUACUAAAGGUUUGUUUGUUCAACAAUUAAAAUC
rnacentral:rRNA from 1 species